CGGGAGGCCGAUUACAAGUGUCGACGAGCAAUCGGAACACGAGUUAAGUUGGGUUGUGCUUACUGAAGCGACUAAGUCGCCCUUUAUGUCUAAGAUGAUUAAGAAUCCAUGUUGAUGCAUAUGAAUGUAAAUGAGGCAUGUGGUUGAUUCAUGUAGCUAAUGCAUGUUAAUAAUAGGAUGCAAAUGCUAAGUAAAUCCAUGUAAAAUGACAUGAUAUAGAAUACAUGCUGAUGAUAAUGCAAAUGAUAUGUAUGUGUGUAUUGGAAUAUAUGCUAGUUGCACUUAGCAUUAUGAGUUCAUGCUAGAUAGUAAAUGCAUAUUGGCAUCAUAGAAUGUAUGUGAGAUGAAAUGUGGAUAUCUAUAGUACUCGAUAUGACAAAUAGGAUAUCAGGUAGAUCGAGUGGCAUUAACCUAGUGUUAAUAAACAUAGGUCGGACAUAGAUGACAUUGAACCUAGUGUUGUUGAACCUAG
rnacentral:lncRNA from 1 species